rnacentral:rRNA from 1 species
GAUGAACGCCGGCGGCGUGCUUAACACAUGCAAGUCGAACGGAAAGGCCAGUGCUUGCACUGGUACUCGAGUGGCGAACGGGUGAGUAACACGUGGGUGAUCUGCCCUGCACUUCGGGAUAAGCCUGGGAAACUGGGUCUAAUACCGGAUAGGACAAUGGUUUGGAUGCCGUUGUGGAAAGUUUUUUCGGUGUGGGAUGAGCUCGCGGCCUAUCAGCUUGUUGGUGGGGUAAUGGCCUACCAAGGCGUCGACGGGUAGCCGGCCUGAGAGGGUGUACGGCCACAUUGGGACUGAGAUACGGCCCAGACUCCUACGGGAGGCAGCAGUGGGGAAUAUUGCACAAUGGGCGCAAGCCUGAUGCAGCGACGCCGCGUGGGGGAUGGCGGCCUUCGGGUUGUAAACUCCUUUCGCUAGGGACGAAGCGUAUUUGUGACGGUACCUGGAGAAGAAGCACCGGCUAACUACGU